rnacentral:tRNA from 1 species
GGGGGAUAUGGCGAAAUCGGUAGACGCUACGGACUUGAAUAUGAAAAAAUGGAAGAAUUUUUGUGACUCUAUUUCAAGUUGAAAAAAGAAUCAAAUAUUCAUCAAAUCAUUCACUCCAUAGUCUGAUAGAUCUUUCUUUGAAAGAACCGGUUAAUCGGUUACUCGGACGAGAAUAAAGAUAGAGUCCCAUUAUACAUGUCAAUACUGACAACAAUGAAAUUUAUAGUACGAGGAAAAUCCGUCGACUUUAAAAAUCGUGAGGGUUCAAGUCCCUCUAUCCCCA